GUCAGGGUUAAAAUAAAGAUACCACCCAACAACAGUAGGUCACCAAGGAUGGGAACCAUUGCCUACGUUUCAGGAGAAGGGCCUCAGCUUGAUAAUACAUUCUUUUCAUGAAGAAAGUUUGAUUUAUAAUCUUCUGGCAUUCUAAGUUCAAGCAAGGGUGGGCAACUGUAUCCCUCUAGGUUCCCCACCCCAUGGCUACCAUCAACCCACCAAUAAGGCCAAACAUUAAGAGCUCCUGGAUCUUGCAAUCCAUCAAAACCUAGAGGAUCACAACUGUUCCCUGAGUUCUAGGAUCUCAAGAAACAUAGCGCAGAAGGGCCUCUCUUUGACACCUUACAGAAAGCUGCUAAUGAUUAGAAUAGACAAUCCUGGGUCAGAUGGAUUAACUAUCUUAUACAGGACCAGUUUGGACAUGGAAUGGGAGAUCUGUGAUUGGAUAUCUUAACAUUAAAAAAAAAAACCUCAGCAACAACAUAGAAGCAGCUGUGGGGAGACCAAAUAGGUUUGGAAAAACAAUAGUCAAAGGAGAGGGUUGAAACUUUCCCAUUUAGCUUAAUUUCAUAGUCAACAUCUCCCGCAAGGGAAAAGUUUAUUUGAGGCUCACUGUGGGGAUGUGUCUGGAAGCCAUGUGUACUGAACCCAAAGAAGGAAACUCCUCGUUGUCCACACUCUGUCCUCUUCUGUAAAAAUGAAGGUUGUGAACACCAUCUUCAAUUUGUACAAAACAUACCUGGAGCACAGCAAAAUUGGAAAGUGGGACCUUCCAGGUGGCCUGAAUUUAAAUGGUCAGAAAGACUGUAUCCUCCCAUACAAGCUUGCCUGGGCUCCAAGAUUUCUAGGAAGCAUCCUUCUCUCCAAGGCAUGCUUAAGCAAGGCAGUGAGAAAGAGCUUAAUUGGUAGCUGUUCCCAGAUUUUGGAAUUCCCUGUCUAGGUGUAACAUGUGAAAAUGUGUCAGCUGCUGUAGGAUGCAAACUGAAUAGGAUCACAACGGCAGAGCC